GUCUUGAAUGUUCCUUACUAGUUGUCAUCAACAUUUAAGAUCAAACUUCCAAUCACUUUGAGUAUGUGUCAGUUGGUGGGCAGUGGUUUGAUUUAUGAUGUGUACACCAAUAUAAGUAGUCUCAUGGACCAUUUUCUCCUCACGGAAUUUGAAAUCCCUUAAUUUUUUUCGACAUUUUUGGCUUUUUAAAUCUUUAAAGUCAACCUUGAGUCCUUGGCUGAGUGGGGCAUGAACAUUUUUUUUUCGGAAAAGUCUUUCCUGUCAACCCUCUUGCCUCAUUGGAAGAGAAGACAGUGGAUGUUGAUGUUUCUUUCAUCAUGUGUGCUUGCAUUUAUAUCUCUGUGUAUUGUUUUCAUGCUUUUUAGGCUGAAUUCCUCUGGUUGUUGGACAUGAACAUGUGCCUCUGGUAAACAAAAUUCGACCGUUCCUCCGGUUACUUUUACUGGAUUUGAUAGCUAAAUGCUUGAAGUGAGCCUACCAGAACUUGUUUUGAAAGCUGAAGAGGCGAAUCUGCUCAUAUCUGUUGCAAUCGUGUGGAUCAAUGCAGAGAUCCUAACAAUGAGCUGCACAUUCAAGAAGUCGAAGCAAGCUAGCUGCUGCACUGAUGGCUCUGCCCUCAAUGGGCCCUCCAGCAUUCACUGCGCAAUGAUCGCUUCAUUUGUAGCUCUGAUUGAGGUGUUGAGCCAUUCCAAUACAGCAGCUCUUCGACCAUCUGCAACGCCACUCUGUUCUCCUCAUCCAUUGCGUCGCUGACCUCGUCGACCUCGGAUGAAGUCGACCAUGAUGACUGGGACGAGGAGGAGCUCUGGC